rnacentral:pre_miRNA from 1 species
UCGGAGUAAAAUAGUGAGAAGCCGACAUGGGGAAAUGAUCGACCCUUGGAAUAAGUUUAAAUUUGUUUUUUUUUUUACUCCAUAAACUUUUUACCGUGGGUAAAAGAUUCUUGCUGGGGUAUAAAAAAACCAGAUUUAAAUUUAGCCCAAGGGUUGGUGAUGUAUUUUCCCCAAGAAGGCGGCUCACUAUUUUACCCCAA